rnacentral:rRNA from 1 species
AUUGAACGCUGGCGGCAGGCCUAACACAUGCAAGUCGAGCGAGCGGCGGACGGGUGAGUAAUGUAUGGGGACUGCCCGAUGGAGGGGGAUAACUACUGGAAACGGUGGCUAAUACCGCAUACUAUCGGAUAACCCAUAUGGGAUUAGCUAGUAGGUGGGGUAAAGGCUCACCUAGGCGACGAUCUCUAGCUGGUCUGAGAGGAUGAUGAGCCACACUGGUACGGAGAACGGCCCCAGAUCCCUCCGGGGGAAGCAGGGGGAAAUAUUGCAAAUGGGGCGAAAGCCGGAUGCAGACAUCCGGGGUGUAUGAAUAGGGCCUUAGGUUUGAAAAGUCCUUUAAGCGGGGAGGCGUUACCCGAAGAAGAAGCACCGGCUAACUACGUGCCAGCAGCCGCGGUAAUUC